AGAUGUGUAUUUAAUAAAUAAAAUCUAUUUUGCACAUAGAAAUAGCUUAAUGCCUCAUCUA
rnacentral:tRNA from 1 species